rnacentral:rRNA from 1 species
CCUAAGGGUGGCAGCAGUGAGGAAUAUUGGUCAAUGGCCGGAAGGCUGAACCAGCCAAGCCGCGUGAAGGACGAAGGUGCCAAGCAUUGUAAACUUCUUUUGUCAAGGGACAAACUCAGGCUCGAGAGCCUGACCGAGGGUACUUUAAGAAAAAGCAUCGGCUAACUCCGUGCCAGCAGCCGCGGUAAUCCGGAGGAUGCGAGCGUUAUCCGGUUUUAUUGGUUUUAAAGGGUGCGUCGGCGGACUGUUAAGUCAGCGGUAAAAGCCCGGGGCUCAACCCCGGCGAGCCGUUGAAACUGGCGGGCUUGAGAUGUCGAGAGGUAGGCGGAAUGCGCAGUGUAGCGGUGAAAUGCUUAGAUAUUGCGCAGAACUCCGAUUGCGAAGGCAGCAUACCGGCGGCGAUCUGACGCUGAGGCACGAAAGCGUGGGUAUCGAACAGGAUUAGAUACCCGAGUAGUC